GUCACCACAUUACGUUUGUGUUCCACUGUGAGGAUGGAAGGCCUGUGACAACUGGAGAGACCUGGAGCAGCGAACGGGUCGAGCGAUAAAAUCCAUUUCCAUCUUCUUAAAAGAAAGAAAGAAUGACCAUGAAAGUUAGAAGAGCAUAAUGUACAGUUUCUAAGCUUCCGUUAGGGGCUAAUAUUGUGGAAGUGUGUUAGCUGGUAUGUUAGAAAAGUGAUGGUGAAAACUGAAGUCCGACGAAAGGAUCCGAAUUCUUCUCAGGGAUUCAGGAGGGUUGGAGUGGCUUAAAGUUGAAAUAAAAAUAAAGGGAUUGUAGGUGUUUCUUGUUAAACAGUGGGUUUUAGUUUGGUGACGAGUUUUUGUGCUCGGUUCGUGAUUUUAAAUACAAGAGUUCUCCUGCUAGUCAGUGGGUAUUUGUCAUAACAGCCAUGGAUCUUCGAGUGGGAAACAGAUACAGACUGGGCAGAAAAAUUGGAAGUGGAUCUUUCGGUGACAUUUAUUUGGGGACUGACAUUUCAGUUAGGGAGGAAGUGGCCAUCAAGCUAGAAUGUGUGAAGACGAAGCAUCCUCAACUUCACAUCGAGAGCAAGAUCUACAAGAUGAUGCAGGGAGGAGUUGGUAUCCCUACCAUAAAGUGGUGUGGUGCAGAGGGGGACUAUAAUGUGAUGGUCAUGGAGCUGCUGGGGCCCAGUCUGGAAGAUCUGUUCAACUUCUGCUCCAGGAAAUUCAGCCUUAAGACUGUUCUACUGCUUGCUGAUCAGAUGAUCAGCCGCAUUGAGUACAUCCACUCGAAGAACUUUAUCCACAGAGAUGUAAAGCCUGAUAACUUCCUGAUGGGACUAGGGAAGAAAGGGAACCUGGUCUACAUCAUUGACUUCGGUCUGGCCAAGAAGUACAGAGACGCCCGCACCCACCAGCACAUCCCCUACAGAGAGAACAAGAACCUGACUGGCACUGCCCGCUAUGCUUCUAUCAACACUCAUCUGGGCAUAGAGCAGUCUCGGCGUGAUGAUCUGGAGUCUUUGGGAUACGUGUUGAUGUAUUUUAACCUGGGUUCACUGCCGUGGCAGGGCCUAAAGGCUGCCACCAAGAGGCAGAAAUACGAGCGCAUCAGCGAGAAGAAAAUGUCCACGCCUAUUGAAGUUCUCUGCAAGGGCUACCCUUCUGAAUUUGCCACAUACCUCAACUUUUGCCGCUCACUACGUUUUGAUGAUAAGCCUGACUACUCCUACCUCAGGCAGCUUUUCAGGAACCUCUUCCACAGACAGGGCUUCUCAUAUGAUUAUGUCUUUGAUUGGAACAUGCUCAAAUUUGGUGCUAACCGUGCAGCAGAGGAGGCAGAGAGAGAGAGGAGAGACCGUGAGGAGAGGCUGAGACACAGCAGGAAUCCUGCCGCUAGUGGCAUCCCAUCAGCCUCUGGGAGACCCCGCGGAACACAAGAUGUCACCCCACCUACGCCCCUCACCCCCACCUCGCACACAGCAAACACAUCCUCACCACGUCCUGUAACCGGCAUAGAUCGGGAACGGAAGGUGAGCAUGAGGCUUCAUCGUGGCGCUCCUGUUAAUGUCUCUUCAUCAGAUUUGACAGGACGGCAAGACACCUCGCGCAUGUCCACUUCACAGUUCAAGGCCGAUUCUGAAAAGGUGGAUCAAGCCGAAGCAAGUUUGCAAACACGACUUGAGCAGAACGUUUCACAGUAAAUAGCAUUCCCUUCGAUCAUCACGGCAAAUAGCUGCUCAUCACGUUCUAGUGUGAAGGCGGCAACAUCUGAUUCCGAAUAAAUUUCUCAGAAGCCCCCACUCUAGACCAUGGAGUGCAGAGGAUGACCCACAUGGCAGACUCAUGGCUCUUCUUGUACCACGACAAAGCAGAGCAGACCAUGUCUCUUUAACCGAUGAAACCAAAAUGGUUCCGAAUCAACUUGACCUCUUUAAGGGUCUCUCUCUUGCUCUUACUUUGUCUUCUACUUUCUCUUACUCUCCUUUUUUUCCACUCUGGUAUAUGUGCACACAGAGUUUUAUGAUCAUACUUUGUCUAAGGAGACUUUGGGACUCAACUAACAAAGACUCAACCAGCUAAAUUCCAGUGUCCUUUACACUGGUGUCUCUCUUCAUACUAGUACUUUCUUUGUACAUCCACACUGCUGCAUAACCCAUCAUUUAUGUUUUUUUCUGAUAAGAUUUAUGUAUUUAACAGUUUACUUGGUUCCAUUUGGUAUACUGGUUUUUUUUUGUUGUUGUUUGUUUUUGUUUUUAUAUAUAAAUCCUUCUCAUGUCCUAAAACUGCCUUUGCAAGGCUCCAUAUUUAGAAGUGUUGCCAUGCUUUUAUUUUGCCCAUUAUAAUUUUUAUUAUGUUUUGAUAAUUCUAUUUGUAUGUGGUGCAAGAUGGGUUACUGUUGCAUGUUUGUGUUUUAGUUUGAAGAGCAAAGGGGCCAAAUUGUCAGCAUUUCUAACUUGUGAUAAACCAUAUUGGAUUAUUUACUGAUCUUGGAACCCUAAACCAUGCAUUUAACAGCGUCCUGUGGAACUCACCUGUUUUGUUAAAUGAAUUUUUGUUUCGUUUUUUCUUCCCAUUCUUCCUUCUGACAUUUUCUAAUGUCUAUUACUGCCCCUUACCUUGUUGGAGCUCUGUUCUGUUUCUAAGCUGUGAACAUUGUAAUAUAUCUGUGUGAAUGUUUCCAUUUUUCACCUAACAGAGAUUAUGAAAGAGAUGCAAAUUACAUUGAGUCCAGAAACAUUACGGGUUUACAUUCUUCUGUCCCACCUUCUUAAUUCUACACCAAGCCAAUAAAAUGAAGCGCUGGACAUGAGAGGUUACCGAUUACAACUCAGCUGUCUCUUGGGCUCAGCUGUUGACUGUUGCACAUCAUGCAAGUAAGUUGUUUAAACAUGUUGAGGCAUGAUUGAUGAACGUUUUAAAUGUUUAAAACGAACUGACUCCUCCAAGUUAAGGUUGUGGUCAGUGAGAUGUGUUCCACAGCAGCCCAUCUGUCAAGGUUGAAUACGGAGUCCUCUCUAAUGAAUGCUCCAGCACUGAUUUGGCUCUACAGGUUAACCUAAACUCUGGUGUAUUAUAUUUUUUACAGAAAGCAUGUUGUUCUGAGCUGCUUUCUUCGUCUCCUGAUGAAGGACUGGAGAAAGCUGUGUCAAGAAUACCAUGCUAUUUUCUUUGAUGUGUCUGAUAGAUGAUCGUGUACUAGUUAUAAUGUACCUAUUCUGUUUGAGAGAGGGUGUGUGUGUUUGAGACCUGAAUAAGGGGAUGGCGUCCCUGGUUUCCUAAAGCCCACUUACAUUUGGGCUUCACAUUUUUGGUCUUGUCAUGCCAAUCUAUGAGCCCCACUACAGUUUGUAUCACUGUAUUUGUGCACCACAUUUUUUUGUACAUGUGUAAAUAAAUGAGUUACUUGUAUUAUUUUAACUGCA